rnacentral:rRNA from 1 species
GAUGAACGCUGGCGGCGUGCCUAAUACAUGCAAGUCGAGCGAACGGACGAGAAUCUUGCUUUUCUGAUGUUAGCGGCGGACGGGUGAGUAACACGUGGAUAACCUACCUAUAAGACUGGGAUAACUUCGGGAAACCGGAGCUAAUACCGGAUAAUAUUUUGAACCGCAUGGUUCAAAAGUGAAAGACGGUCUUGCUGUCCCUUAUAGAUGGAUCCGCGCUGCAUUAGCUAGUUGGUAAGGUAACGGCUUACCAAGGCAACGAUGCAUAGCCGACCUGAGAGGGUGAUCGGCCACACUGGAACUGAGACACGGUCCAGACUCCUACGGGAGGCAGCAGUAGGGAAUCUUCCGCAAUGGGCGAAAGCCUGACGGAGCAACGCCGCGUGAGUGAUGAAGGUCUUCGGAUCGUAAAACUCUGUUAUUAGGGAAGAACAUAUGUGUAAGUAACUGUGCACAUCUUGACGGUACCUAAUCAGAAAGCCACGGCUAACUACGUG